AAAAAUACAAAAAUUAGCUGGGCGUGGUUGCAAGCACCUGUAGUCCCAGCUACUCAGGAGGCUGAGACAGGAGAAUUACUUGAACCUGGGAGACAGAGGUUGCCGUGAGCCAAGAUCUCACCAGUGCAGUACAGCGUGGGUGACAGAGCAAGUAAGUAAAGAGGAGGUUUGGAAUUAGAUAUUUGGUGUAUGAAUGAAUGGGCUAAAGUGCAAAAGAACAGGCAGAAUAACUGAGCUGGUACAGAGGAAAAAAAUCACACUUAAAAUCUAAAAGUAUCUGCUUCUCAAUUUGGGCUUUCCCACUUAGCAGCUUUGACACCUUAGAAAGAACACUUAACUUACCUGAGCUUCUAUUACUUCUAAAAAGUGCAUAAAGUGCAGGCUAAGACAUAGUUUUUUUGGCAAAAUUCAGUCAGACUACAUCAAGUAAACUCCCUAAGUCUCCUAGUAUAAUUCAUGGCACAAAAACUGGGGAAAAAACAGGGAGGAUAUGUUUAUAAGUUCAGUUUGGGUUUUUUGUUGAGUGAAUGUCUCCAGUCAUAGAGAUGCAAGUGUAGAUACACCGUAAGAGUAGUAUGAACAGGAGACACCUUGGAAGGCUAUUUCUUCCUUCAUUCAUUCAGUUGGUCACUCAAUGAACUAUCAUGAAUUGAGCACUACCUCUGUUUCUUAUCAACAAAGGAGACUACGGAAAAGAAGAGUGACUAAGAUCUCUGAAGAAGGGAAAAGCUAGAUGACUGGGCCACAAGAGGAAAAAAAGCAGCAAGACAGACAAUGAGUAGCCACUGCUGUUUGCCCUGGCCCAUCAAUGAGAAGAUCUGCUCUUAGAGCCCUGCUUUCCUGCUGAAGGCCCUGAAAUCACCUGUGUUCCAGGCCACCUGCUAACAAUAAAUAAUGCUGCCCUGAUGUGGGGAAUUAGCUCAAGUGGUAGAGCGCUUGCUUAGCACGCAAGAGGUAGUGGGAUCGAUGCCCACAUUCUCCAAGCUUUAUUAUUUAGACAUCGUGUCUCCAAACACUCAGGUCUCCAAACCCAAGUUAGUGUCUGAGAACAGGAUGCUGCUUUGGUUCAAGACGUAGGAGCAGCAAUAAUAGAGGGCUGGUGAUGGCUCCCUCUUGGCAUUCAGUAUAGUGUAGAUCUACCAUGUAAUUAAUUCUCUGUUUCUUUGAGGAGCUGUGAAACCAAGGGACAUAUACAACUGCUCUUUUCUCCCUGUUUCUACCUGCAGCUUUGUCCUAAAUGUGAGACAAUUAUGAAAAGUGCAGCGCAGAGCCACUUGGGUAAAUACAGCCCCGGCUUUCUGCUCAGGGGACAGAGUUUGAGGCACUGCAGAGGAACCGGCCAAAGUAUGAGACCCAUAUAUUGAGAGUAACAGAGUGUAAAGUUCAAAAAAAUCAAAAUAUUUAAAGAUUUAUCAUGGGUCUUGAUGACAUGAUGGAAUCUCUCUACUCUCUGGACUUAUUAUGUGUGGUAAUAAAUUUAC
rnacentral:lncRNA from 1 species